UACGUAGGGGGGCAAGCGUUGUCCGGAUUUAUUGGGCGUAAAGAGCGUGUAGGCGGCCAGGUAGGUCGGUUGUGAAAACUAGAGGCUUAACCUCUAGACGUCGACCGAAACCAUCUGGCUAGAGUCCGGAAGAGGAGAGUGGAAUUCCUGGUGUAGCGGUGAAAUGCGUAGAUAUUGGGAGGAACACCAGUGGCGAAGGCGGCUCACUGGACCGGUACUGACGCUGAUGCGCGAAAGCGUGGGGAGCGAACAGG
rnacentral:rRNA from 1 species